UAGCUGAAGAGGGACAGCCUUACC
rnacentral:misc_RNA from 1 species